GAAAUGCGAUACUUGGUGUGAAUUGCAGAAUUCAGUGAAUCAUCGAAUCUUUGAACGCACAUUGCGCCCGCCAGUAUUCUGGCGGGCAUGCCUGUUCGAGCGUCAUUUCAACCAUCAAGCCCCCGGCUUGUGUUGGGGACCUGCGGCUGCCGCAGGCCCUGAAAACCAGUGGCGGGCUCGCUAGUCACUCCGAGCGUAGUAAUACAUCUCGCUCAGGGCGUGCUGCGGGUUCCGGCCGUUAAAAAGCCUUAUUUACCCAAGGUUGACCUCGGAUCAGGUAGGAAGACCCGCUGAACUUAA
rnacentral:misc_RNA from 1 species